rnacentral:rRNA from 1 species
GUGAGGAAUAUUGGUCAAUGGGCGGGAGCCUGAACCAGCCAAGUAGCGUGAAGGAAGAAGGAUCUAUGGUUCGUAAACUUCUUUUGCAGGGGAAUAAAGUGCAGGACGUGUUCUGUUUUGUAUGUACCCUGAGAAUAAGGAUCGGCUAACUCCGUGCCAGCAGCCGCGGUAAUACGGAGGAUCCGAGCGUUAUCCGGAUUUAUUGGGUUUAAAGGGUGCGUAGGUGGUUUGAUAAGGCAGCGGUGAAAGUUUGCAGCUUAACUGUAAAAAUGCCGUUGAAACUGUCGGACUUGAGUGUAAAUGAGGUAGGCGGAAUGCGUGGUGUAGCGGUGAAAUGCAUAGAUAUCACGCAGAACUCCGAUUGCGAAGGCAGCUUACUAAGCUACAACUGACACUGAAGCACGAAAGCGUGGGGAUCAAACAGGAUUAGAUACCCCGGUAGUCC